ACAUCCUAUAUCCCACCUGAAUAAGCCACAAUUUUAAUGGAACAUUUUACUGCACUGGGGAAUCAUCUUGGAUUGUAUAAACCCCCUAUCCGUGGUUUCUCUGGGAUUACCCCUAAAAGCCUUGGAUAAUACAAACUCUGAGUGCUGUGUUAAAGUUCAACCCCAUUUGAUUAAUCCUGUUUGUGUCUUGAAAUAAUGAACCAUAGAAGAGGACCAAAGGCGAGGCCAUUUAACAUAACACGAAGGGUCUUACCAGACGAUAAAGCCCUCUUAUGAGGGUUCUAUUGCUAUUAGAAAAUGGAUACUUACAAAAAAAAAACAUUUACAGUUUUUCUGUUUGUUUUCUUUUGUGAUUUUAAGCAGCACUAUUUUUUGUUGCUAAUGAAUCCAAACGUCUUCCUCAUUGUUCUGUGAGUAAUGCUCACAGGGCUGCCAGAUUGGUGGGUUUCGAGCCAAAUUUGGCUUGUUUUUAAAACAUCUAGCAGGUAAAUAUUGUUUUUGGCGGUUUGGCUAUUUUUUGGCUAUUUUUUAUCAUGCAUGUUUUUUCCUUUUCCUUUCAAUUACAAUACAGUAUAUUAAGUAAUCGCCAGCGCAGGACUUCAAUCCCCACAAUUCCAUGCUGUGACUCAAUUACUUUUGGUAAUUACUUCCUAAAGUCCAACGCAGCUAAUAUGUACUAAACUACAAAUGUUGUGACUUAACAUGAUACAGAACAACUGUAUCUGCCAACAGUUCUGUACAAUUUUUCCCCCCUUGUGCCUGGUUUCAUCAGGUAACAAAUAACAGUGCUUGUGCUAUUAAUUUGACAAUUUGAAACAAACAAGGAA